rnacentral:rRNA from 1 species
UGGGGAAUAUUGCACAAUGGGCGCAAGCCUGAUGCAGCCAUGCCGCGUGUAUGAAGAAGGCCUUCGGGUUGUAAAGUACUUUCAGCGGGGAGGAAGGGAGUAAAGUUAAUACCUUUGCUCAUUGACGUUACCCGCAGAAGAAGCACCGGCUAACUCCGUGCCAGCAGCCGCGGUAAUACGGAGGGUGCAAGCGUUAAUCGGAAUUACUGGGCGUAAAGCGCACGCAGGCGGUUUGUUAAGUCAGAUGUGAAAUCCCCGGGCUCAACCUGGGAACUGCAUCUGAUACUGGGAAGCUUGAGUCUCGUAGAAGGGGGUAGAAUUCCAGGUGUAGCGGUGAAAUGCGUAGAGAUCUGGGGGAAUACCGGUGGCGAAGGCGGCCCCCUGGACAAAGACUGACGCUCAGGUGCGAAAGCGUGGGGAGCAAACAGG